GUCUUAAAGAAGUUUUAUUUUAAGUCUAAUCUGCCCACUGAAUUUAUUUAAAGGGCCGCAGUAUAAUUGUGCAAAGGUAGCAUAAUAAUUAGUUUUUUAAUUGGAAACUAGAAUGAAUGAUUGGACGAAAUAUUAACUGUUUUGGUUUUAUGUGUAAAAUUUAUUUUUUUAGUGAAAAAACUAAAAUUAUUUAAAAAGACAAGAAGACCCUAUAGAUCUUUAUAUUAUAAAUUAUGAGUUAACAUUUAUUUUGUAAUAUUAAAUUGGGGUGAUUGAGAAAUUUAAUUAACUUUCUAUGUUUUUUACAGAGAUUAUUGAAUUAUUGAUGUUGAUCUAUUAUUAAGAAUAAAGAAUAAGAUACCUUAGGGAUAACAGCGUAAUUUUAGUUUUAAGUUCGUAUUGAAACUAAAGAUUGCGACCUCGAUGUUGGAUUAAAAUUAAUUUUAAAUGUAGGUGUUUAAUAAUUAGGUCUGUUCGACCUUUGAAUUUUU
rnacentral:rRNA from 1 species